GUCAAAGAUUUCAUUGAAUUCAUUAAUUAAUGAGAGAACUAGCAAGAAGUUACAAUCAGUUCAAAGGAGAAUUCAAAAUCCCACACAUAUAUAGGUCCAGUAAGAAUGAUGAGAUAGGCUGGGUGCAGUAGCUCUCACCUGGAAUCCCAGCACUUUGGGAGUUCAAGGCAGGAGGAUCUCUUGAGCCCAGGAGCUUGAGACCAGCCUCGGCAAUAGUGAGAGAGAGAGAGAGAGACACACACACUUACACACACACACGGCAGGAGGAUCUCUUGAGCCCAGGAGUUUGAGACCAGCCUGGGCAACACAGUGAGAGAGAGAGACACAUGCGCACACACACACACACACACACCCCUGGGCAACAUAGAGAGAGACACACACACACACACAUACACACACACACACACACACACACACACACAGUUUGAGACCAGCCUGAGCAACAUAGUGAGAGGCAUGCACGCUGGGAGCAGUGGUAGUAUGUGCCUAUAAUCCCAGCUAGGUGGGAGGAUUGCCUGAGCCCAGGAGUUUGAGGCUGCAGUGAGAUAUGACCAUACCAUUGUGUACUCCAGCCUGGGCAACAGCAUGAGGCCUUGUCUCUAAAAAGAAGAAAAAAAGAGAUAAAUGUAUACAUACAAAAUUGGGUUUUUUCUCCCAUGGGGAUGGGAGGGAUGAAAUAAUCUUCCCUCCAUAGGACAGAAUUAGUUUGCAAGUCUUAUGGACCAGAGUCAUUUGUACUAUAUAAUGAACUUUUCUUAAAACUUAUUUUGAAAGCCUAACCAAGUGUCUCAGGAAGCAUGAGAAUAUGUGAGGUUAGAAGCUGCAUGCCGUUAUGGUGAUGUUUCCCAAAUUCUGCCGCUCCAGUGGCGCCCUGGGGCAUCCUUCCCCAUUGGGUGGAUGUAGCCACUGAGGCUGAAGUGAUUGAAUCAGUCCAAAGCCGCAAAACUUGCAAGCAGCAGAGCAUGGCUGCUAGUCCAUCUUUCCGAUAGUCUAUUCUUCUCCAGUUCCUUCAUUCAGUGUUUCCUGAGUGCCCACUGUGUGCCUGGCCCUAUGCUGUAACUACAGAUUCAGAGAUGAACAAAAUACCAGAUAGAACAAGUUCCCUGAGGGCAGGAAUUUUUGUGGCCUUCAGCACCUUGGUGAAUGCUGACACAUAGUAGUUAUUUAAAUGAUUGUAGAAUAAAUGAAGACACAGGCGAUCUCUAUUCACAUGGGGCUUCUGAGAAAUCCUGCUCAGGAUCCCAAGAGUUCUACCAGAUCACAUGUAGCUAGAACAUAUCAGACCUUCUUGCUUUCUUAGUUGAUCUCCUGCAGACCCAAUCUGCAGUUGAGGAAACUGAGGCUGUGUGGGUCUGCUUGCCAGAGACAACAGUGGGUGGCAGGCUUGAGCCUGGUUCUGUGGCUGAGAGUUCCAUUUUCCUCCUCGGCUACUUCUUCCAGGAUACUACCAUCUCAUGCCACCUCUUGACCUCAGACUACCUACCACCAGUAGUCUGCAUUAUUUCAAAAUUAUGAACAAGAAGUUUC
rnacentral:lncRNA from 10 species